GGAGCCUGUGGCGACCCCGCGCGCCCCCUCCUGCCGCCGCUGGGUCCGGGAUGCUCGAUGGGGUCACCAGCGCUCUGGGUCUACACAGAAUCCGGCUUAUUGACAAGUCCGGUGAUGCGUUUCUACCCGCGGUGCUGUAGUCCAGGCUAGGUCCCGAGGCGAGCGGGAACCUGCAGACUUGCUGCAAUAUCCAUGCUGGUGGUGGCAGAUUCAGAGCUGGCCUGUGCGGACUGGGGGUCAGAGAGGAGCAUGUGCGGGUCUGGGUGUUUGUGUGUGUGUGUGUGUGUGUAUGUGUGUGUGUGUGUGUGUGUGUGUGUGUGUGUGUGUGUUUUGCCGGUGAGGCUGGUAGUGCUGGUGGUGCUGGUGUGGUACUGGUGGGAGGCAGUGGCAGGGAUUCUGGGGUUGCUCCUCUGUAAACUCCAAGAGCUGCCUUGGUAUUUGCUGUCCCCGCGUCCGCGGUGCUGAUACCUCUGCAUUCCUGCUCUUCCAAGAGGAAACUGGCAUUAACUUUAGGAGGCUGCUGGGUAGCCGCUUGCCACCUGGCACUUGCAUCCUAGACAGAACAACCCCUACAAAAAUUAUUCUGUCCCUAGAUGUGGGAGGGGUGAGGGUAGGGGAGAGAAGGAAAUGUCUGUCUGAGGGAGAGAGAGAAUGAGAGAGAGAGAGAGAGAGAGAGAGAGAGAGAGAGAGAGAGAGAGAGAGAGAGAGAGAGAGAAAAUAUGAAUAUGCACUUGAGAAAUCAUGGGUUAAUAACUGCUGGCUCUGAAUAGCCAGAGCGUUUCAUGCUUGGGGGUUUGAAUAUCUGGGUCUUUACUUUGAAAAUGUCUUGGUUCUGUGCUGAGGGAAGAUUGUGAAGUGAAUUCACGAAGGUUAAAAAUGCAAACACAUACAUACUCUUUGCAUCUCAGUUAAGGCUGAGAAAUCCAGAGCCUUCGUAUAUGUUCCACAGUACACAAAAUCAUUCCAAAAAAUAAGAAUGCAUUCUUUUCGUUGUUGUUGUUUUUGUAAGUUUCCCCUAUUUCACCGUUCCCACCGGUGAAAGGAGCCUAGUACAAUUAGCUACUGAGAGACUGCUAUUUCUCUCUACCAUUGAUAGUUGUACUAUCCCUUCCUGUUCAGGCAUUCUGUUAUCAUGAGGACCUGUACCACUUACAUUUCUCUCAAUACUGAAAAGCAAGGCUUCUCAUUUACACACACACACACACAAACACACACACACACACACACACAGAGAGAGAGAGAGAGAGAGAGAGAGAGAGAGGGAGGGAGAGAGAGAGAGAGAGAGAGAGAGAGAGAGAGAGAGACUCAUGAAUUCUCACUAUGAAAUGACCAGACUGGCAAUCUUCCCUUGAUUUUCUUCUGACAGCUGGUUGCUAAUGUUACUUUUGUGGGUUUCGUUUUUCAUUGCUAGGGAAUAUUUUGGGUAGCUAGAGAGCCUUCUUGCCAAAAGAAAUGAGAAUAGACUCCUCCUGGCUGUUUACUAGUUGAAGCAUUGCAAGUAAAUAAACACAAUGUCAAAGUUCUCUUUUGAAAUACACAGAGCGACAGCUGGAACUCACCCAUGGCACAAUUAGAAGUUACAGCUUCUAAAAAACUUCAUCUCGGAACUCAUUGACCCCUUUUCUUUCUUAUCAGAAUUGUUAGGUCCUGUGACACAUAGGUCUGUGACUGAACAUGCCUGCAUGAAAAAUAAUAUCCAAAUCUAUCUUGAGAACCUGAUUGCUUUCUAUUUUCUUUAUUUUUUUAAUUUCCUUUCUUUUCCGUCUCAAUGCUGUCAGGUUUCUCUGUGAUUUCCGAUGUCCUAUUUCAGCCUUUUAAUUAUUUGUCUAUUGAGGCAUUAGCAAAAAUAUGAUAGUAUGAGGUCAGUAAGUGAGGGUCAUCUUUUUCUUUCUUCUAUUUAACUAGAAACUUAGCACACAAGAUAAGAGAGUCAGUCACUUGAUGUUUCUCUGAAGUUUGAGUAAAGCUUUGGAAUAUUCAUUCCACACCCAUAGAAUUUCAUGAGUGAAGGACAGAGCAAAAUGCUGAGCUGAUGUCAGGUGGCACUUAUGAAGGUUGGUGAGGUCGAAUCGAACAUCAGACCAGAUCAUUAUAUUCCAGAAGAUCUUCCCACCAAAAAUGCACAGCCCUACCAUUCUCUUCACUAAGACCAUUGCUGCCUACAAAGAGAAUUUGCUAAGGCAUGGUAGCCUUAUCUGUGCAAAGUAGUUUUUAUGUUUGUGUUUGUUUGUUUUCUGAGAAUAUUAUUUCCAGAGGAGGAGUUUUCAAGGGUCACUAAACAGAGCACAUUAAUACAUGGGAAAUGGACCCAGUUCUCAAGCACUAAAAUCCCCUGAUGGGUGGUAAAUAACAGGUAGUGGUAGGUUUGAAUAAUAGACUCUAUAGGGCAAGAAGGUCAUGCUGCCAGAUGGGAAUGAGAAAAUGAUGCUCACUACAAAUACUUGUCAUACACAGCCUUUCUUCUAUGAUCUUAGAAAUUCUAGGAAAGGCUAUUACAUUAAGUGCUCUAUGCCUUCACUCUGGUGUGAAUGUAUGGAGAUCAUACUACACACACACACACACACACACACACACACACACAGACAUAUGCAUGCACAUGUACAUACACAUAUACACAUUCAAACAUGUUCAUACAUACAUAUUCAUGACCACUCACACAUAUACACAUACUCACAAACAUAUAUAUGCAUGCAUAUACACACAUGCACACAUGAACAAAUACAUACAUACACACAUGCAUGCACAUGCACACACACAUGGAUACAUACACACAUGCAUGCAUGCACAUGCACAACACGUACAUAUGUGCAUGCACGCACAUGCACAACACGUAUAUAUGUGCAUGCACAUACAUGUACAUACACACAUACACACACAUACACAUACACUUGGUGUCAGAUUGUGUGGCUUUAUUAAAUCAGCUACAUCUGUAGCAGGUUAUUUCCUCUGUUUUUCAUGAUUACCUCCAUGGAUUCACAAAUGAAUGCUGUUAUUGGUGUUCAUUUCUGUUAGAUUCUAUUUGUUCAGAAUGUUGAACAUGUCUUACCCUAUGUGUUUCUGAAAUGUAGGUAUAUUUACUGUAUAAUUUGGAUUAUCCCCAGGAGACAGUCUACAAAGUUAGGUUUUUACUAUGUAGCCAUAGGCAGUUCAGAUACAUUUUGGUAAGGUCUCAGUAAUAGCUGUGUUGUUUCACAUUGCUGAUGCUAUGAUUAUUAUCACUAUCUUGAAAUGAGUUAUUAAUUAUAUGUUUGUAAAGUUAUAUUUACAUAUGAGCAAGUUAACAAAAACAAUAGUUUUUCUUGUGAUUCUCUAAAUAUUCCCCAGUAAUUUCAUAAAUUUGAUAAUCAUCAUCCACACAACAUCCUUCUGAUAUUGGCAGGGACACUUUCUAACAGGUAAACCAUGACAGGCUGAUGAUAAGAUUACAUAGUGCCUAGCUGUGUUUGUCUUGAUAUUCUGAGAACUGUGUACAUUAUAUUAAUGACACCUAUUUUUCAGUGUCUAAAAUCUUCAAAGGAAAUCCUAGAAAUUUGUGAUUGGAUUGUUUUUGUCUCAUUUGCCUGUAAUCUUAAGGAAACAUGAAGAAAUUGUUCAACUGAGACUUUUUGUUUCGUUUUUUUUUGUUGUUGUUUGUUUUUUGUUUUGUUUUGUUUUGUUUUGUUUUGCUGUGAAUGGAGAUAAAACCCAAAUAACCAACAAAGCCCACCCUAAUCAUGACUGUGCAUUUUGUGCUUGAUUUAUUUUGGGGCUCCCUGUUUCAUUGGCUCAGAUCUGGUUGGGUCUCCUUGUCAUCUGGCAAUUGUCCCUUCUUUCUCAUGCUCCAGAUUCAGGGCCAAAGAGCAGCCACUGCUGUGCUCUGAGGUUGGCUCUGUUCUCCAUUUGGCAUCUGGAAUGGCAGUAGCUGUGUGCCCUUUGUGGACUGUAGAGGAGAUGAACUCCACUUGGCCCACCCCACCCCCAUCUUUGGUUCAUCUAGGCAUGAAGGUCGCCUUGGCUCCUGCCUGAAGCCAGAUUUGGAUUGUUAAUGCCCAGUACAAGAGGCAAGCACGCUUUUACUGAAUUGUAGACAGUACAGACAACCCUCAGGGGAGUCUCACACCAGCUGCUCAGUGUGGGGCUGCAGAGAGGCCCAGGAUGUGAGCCCUUCUUAUAGACACUAGUAGUAUCCUCCCGUGGCUAUCUCCUUGUAACUUGCUCAUGGCCAGGAUAGUUACCCUACUUCCAUCCAAUAUAAUUCCAGCAAAGAUGAAUUGGUGAAGACCUUUAUGAUAGCUUCUUCAGACAAGAAGUUGCAUGGUACCUUAAUGGUAUGGGCUGUAUCAACUGAUGAAGGAACUUAAGCAAGUUAGAAGAUUAUGCAGAGAUAAAUCACUUUCUGUAGAUGCAGCUUCCUCCUAGGUGUAGAUGUUGAUAUUAGUCUUAUCACCAAUAAUAACCUGGAACCAAUCCACUAAGCACUGACUACAGAGCUUCUAAGUCUUUAGUGCAAGACACAAUUCAUUUUUUUCUAUUACGUUUGCAUUUCAAGAAAAUGUUUGUUACUACUAGAUUAAAAAUGAUACAUUCACAUUCAGAAAAAAAUUCACCCUUUCCCCUAGAGGGUUGUUUCCUAUCUAGUUUUUGGUAGCUGAAGACACCGUGUCACAUAUAUAGUGAUGAUCAUUAAGUACGUACAAUUUGUAGCUCAAAUCACCACCCUGAGUGUUGAAAAUAUGGGUGUCAUUUACAAGUAUUUUAUUAAUGUACAAAGAUACAGAACAAUAUAGAAUACAGCAAUUGUCCAUAAUACCUUAGGGAAUCUUUCAUUUGAAAAAUGUUAACACUAGAGAUCUAUGAUUCGUUUCACAUAGUUCUGGUCAGAUCUGGAGUCUACACUUCACAGGAAGUAUGUUGUCUCAAGAAGAUAUUUUUUUAAAGCUUUGUCUACAUAGUAUAUUUUCUUCAUUAUACCUUUAUUCCACAUGGCAUAUUUCCAUCAACAAAUAUUUUUAUGUUGUGAUUGAUCUUCCAAAAUGAUCCUUUCAUUGCCCAUGAAUUCUUGUACUGCUUUUAUUCUUCAGCAUUUGAGAACAUCUGACUGUCCACAUGAGCAGCAUUAGUUUAAAACUUAGGUAGAAAAUGUAGCCCCAUGGCCUUUCCAUAGGAUCACGUAAGAGUACCUCUCUUUGCUUUUGAAUUGCUAUCUGGUAAAAUAGCGGUAAAACUCUCAUGUGAGCCUCAUUUUUCUGAUUAGUUAAGGGUCAUAGUGCUUUGCCUAGUGUCUGGAUGUGCGAUUUGCAUAUUAUUUGCUUCUGUGGAGAAGAUAAUGAGUUAAAAGUGUUUGCCUUACCUUUUGCAACAGUCUGAAAGACUUUACACAAGUUCCAUCUAUCUCUUCUGCUCCUCCUCCAUCGUUCUAUUUUUCAGACUUUCUCUGCACUUGGGUGAGAGCCAUAUUGAACUCCUAGUGCUAAUUUAAUGCUGAGGAGAGAUACAGUAUUGAUAUGGGGUUACAUAAGCUGCUUGGCGUUCUUGCUCUACUAAAAGAGCUAAAGCCAAAACACAAUAGAAAAUACACGUCCACUUUUAUUUCCAUGGUAAACACCUUUGUUUCCAUUAUCCAUAUGCCUACGUCUGCCUCAAUAUUUUAGCUUGCAGUACUGAGAAACUGCUGAAGGAAGGAAGAAGUGUUAGGGGAUCUAGAUUUCAAUUAACUUUGCCACUGUGGCUAUGUUACUCUGUGUGAAUCACUGUUGUUUAGUAAAUGAAACUAAGAUUCUCCAAGAUUAAUAAAUCUUGCUGAGGUGGCAGUAGACCAGAACUCUGGUGCUCAGAUAACCUCUAACCGUUCCCUUCUCUGAAGUCCCUCCUUUCUCAUUUUGAUACAAAACAAGGUCACCCCCCCCAAAUAAACAAUAUAUGCUAUCAUUGUUGACAUGCAUAAAUUAUGAUAGUCUUUUUGCUGCAGUAACAAUAAUACUAAGAGAAUCUCUUUAAGUAAGGUCACAUUCUCGUCCUAUCUUAGUUGUUUGGUUGAGUACAUUUAAGUUACCAAUGUAACUUAGAUUUUAUCGAAUUAUUGAAGUAGCAUGAAUAAUCCACAUGCAUGUGGUAUUUAAUAAGAUGCUUCUCUCUGUCUCUGUCUCUCUGUCUCUGUCUCUCUGUCUCUCUCUGUCUCUGUGUCUCUCUGUCUUUGUGUCUCUCUCUGUGUCUCUCUCUGUCUCUCUGUCUGUCUCUGUCUCUGUGUCUUUUUCUGUCUCUCUGUCUUUGUGUCUCUCUGUGUCUGUCUCUCUGUCUCUAUCUGUCUCUGUCUGUCUCUGUGUCUCUGUCUCUCUCUGUGUCUCUGUGUCUGUAUCUCUCUCUUUCUGUCUCUGUUCAGGCCAGCUUUCCGCUCAUCACCCUCUGUCUGCAUAGGAAGAGCAAAAAAAACUUCCUAAUGCUGCUUUUACCUAAUGUGGUAGGGUAAGAUGUAUCCUAGUGACCUAACCUAAGCUUGUGCUAGCAUAUCAGAUGCAGGCUGAAAGUUGAUCUUACUUACGAUGAUGGUUUUGUCACUGAAAUUUUAAUUUCCUAUCUUUCCCAUUAGGCAGAGAUGUGGUUUGUGCUCAGGAGGAAGGAGAGGGGGCAUUCUGUGGGCUUAAAGUUAUUUUUGUGUUUAUGAUGUGAGCUAUAUGAAAAAUAGGUAGUUAUGUCAUUUGGUUUGGUUAAAAACAGAGUACAGAUUACAGAAAAGUGGAGGGAAAUGCAAAAAAUAACAACUAAUAUACUUCCUUUCCCUUCUGGCUCUUUUCCUUCCUUCUAUAAAUAUUUAUAAAUCCUCAAGUCAACACUCUCAUAAACCUCAUAUCAAGAGAGACAGGCACCCAGAAGACAAUAAAUUAAUUAGCACUAUAGUGGAAUAUAAUGAGAGAGAGAUUAGGGCACCAUGACUAUAUAUUUCAGGUAGAUACAACGUAGACUGUAGAGUUAAGAAAGUAUUUAUUUAGUCCACUGAUGCAUAAUUAGAGUUUGAAAGAUAAGUGAGAUUUAGAUAAGUAGAUAUAUAGCAUAGACAGAGCUUUAACAGACAAAGGAAGCCUACUGAGGCUUCAAUGUACCACAGAGACCAUCAUAUUCCAGAAACCUAAGGACUAGAAGCAGGGCAAAAUCCAAAGAGUAAGGAAAUGACAGAAAGCAAAAGAGGGGUGUGGAAUCACUAGUUCUGUGGAAGACAGAGGAGCAGUAGUGACUUCAUGUGGCUUCUUUCCAGGUCAAACAUGAGGAAAGGCAUACAGAGUUAAAGCAGGGAUGUGUCUCCUGUGAGUUUCUACAAGAGGCCUCCAGUUGCUGUAAAGGGAAAGGGUGAGCUUGACAAGAGGAGCCUACUGGAGGUUUUUAAUAGAUAAAGGAGAUUGGGGUGGGGACUCAGCUGUUGUAAUAGACUGACUGCAUUGGGGGAAUCGAGGUAGAAUCCUCUGGGUGUGGUUGGGAGAUCUCGAACAGAGCAGGUUAUGCAGAGGAGUCAAGUUUACAGCUAUGGAUACUUUCCAUCACCUAACUCUUACCUUAACCCAAGUUUUCAAGGCCAUAUGUGGGUGCUGUGUUUCCUUACAACUGAGGGCAGAGAUGGAGAAAGCUAGCUAAAGAGUAGAUAUUGAUGCCCAGGCUCCUAUCUCCAUAUCCAGACCCUUACGUUUGCACUCUCCUUCCUAAUAGAACCAAUAGUUUAAAUGUGUGCAGCUUACAGAAUUUAAUAGAAAAAUCAUCUCUGACUCUCCACCUAUGUGGCCUUGGGCAAGACGUUUUCUGAUUCUGGAAAUAAUCUGUAAGGUGCCUUUGAGUUCCAAAAAUUAGAUGAGUCUAUGUUUUACUCUGACUGGGGAGAAGUCUAGACUUAAUUAGCAAAGCAAUGGAAUUAAAUAGUAUUCUAAAAGCAAUGCACUUUUAUUAGAUUCAAGUAUGUACAGAAAAAAUAAAAAACAAUUCCUUGCAAAUCUUUUCAAGGAGAAUGUACCUUGCUGCCUUUCUUUUUGGCAUAAUCAGGUUAAAAAUGAACUGAUUUUUGUUUGUUGGUAGCAUCAUGUAUUUACAAUCAAGUCACCCAAAAUAUAACCUCACCUCUUCCUGGCUCACUGAUUACCUGACGUAUGUGAUGAUCUGUACAAGUGCACAAUAAAUUCACUCAAUAAAAAUUUGUGAAGGGUCAAUAUUCUUAAUUUUUUUCAUCAAUAGUUAAAAAGUGAUAAAUUGUAACAGACUGAUUUGGAAAAUAAUUUGAGAGAAAAAUAAGUGGUAAGAGAUGGAACUAAGCCUGGUGGAAGGAUAGAAGGUCAAAGACAAUAAAGAAUAACAAAAGGAGAGAGUUGUGUUCAUGGGAAGUGAGAGGAAUGGAAAAGGGAUAUUCUUGUGUUUCUUCUCUCUCUCUCUCUCUCUCUCUCUCUCUCUCUCUCUCUCUCUCUCUCUCUCUCUCUCUCUCUCUCUCUCUUUGUAGCUAUAGUAUACAUUCUGGCCUGCAUGGAGUUAAGGACUUUAUGUUGGUAAGAAUUGCCAAAGAAGCUUCCAGAAACAGCUUCCAGAAACAGAGUGAACCUUGGAAGCCAGACUGAACCAUUUGUUCUUAAUCCUUAAAGAAUAAAGGGCCUUUGAUUAGCACAGGAAGGAAGUGACAUGAAGGAAAUGCAGAGCCUGCAGGACAAAUUUGGUGCCCAGAGACCAUUUGCAUAGAGAAUAGAGACACAAAUUUAGGCUAGGCUGCCUGCCUGCUUGCUUCCUUCCUUCAUUCUUUCCUUCCCUCCCUCACUCCUUCUUCCCUCCCUCCCUUCCUCCUUUCCUCCUCCCUCCCCCCUCUUUCUUUCUUUCUUUCUUUCUUUCUUUCUUUCUUUCUUUCUUUCUUUCUUUCUUUCUUUCAAUUACAAACACUGAAGUAACAAUUUUUAACAUAAAAUCUACAAAUAUGUGAAGAAAAACUUGUUUUAUUGUUUUUAAAGAUUUCAUAAUUUUUAUGUGAUAAUAUUUUCCUGAAACACAUGAGUGUCUCAUGUGUUUAGAGGCCAGAAGAGGGCAUCCUAUUCCUUCAAAUGAGAGUUAUGGAUGGUUGUAAUGCACCAUGUAGGUGUAGGAAACUGAACUCAGGUCUUCUACAAGAGCAGCUAAUUCUCUUAAUGGCUGAGCCAUUUCAUCUCUCCAGCCCCAAGUGUAUAGAUCCAUAAGCUCAUAUAAUUAGAUGGAUAUGGCAUUAUCAAGUCCCUUUUUAGAUAUAGAGACAUAUUUAGGUGUUCUGUGGAAUGAUAUUAACACACAGAUCCUGUGGACAGUUUACAUAUGAUCUUAAUGAGGUGAUAAAGAGUUAAUGGGUGUGUGAGUGCACGUGGAUAAUAUGUAGUGCCUAGUGCAUGACAAGUAGGUACAGCGAGGAGAGCUUUCCUCGAUUUCUGGAUUCCCGAUGUAGACCAUCUGUUUAGUUCUGUUCUUGUAUAAUAUAUGGUGAGAAAAUAUUGUUAAAUAAACCUUGGCAACAUUGAAGGAACUUUGAAGUACUUCCCAUUGCAUUCAGAAGCAAUGCUCAUGUUUUUAUAUUCGUAGAAUGAGUGAAGCUACAGUUUUCUCUGAUGUGCUUUAAAAAAUGGCUUAUCUCUUCAGAAAUUCCAUUAUAAAUUAACGGGCUCAUUGUAGAAAAGUGGGAAAACACCAAAGAAUAUGAGAAAGCAAUGGGAAAAUUAAAUAAUAUUAAAUACCAGAGAAACUUUAUUAAUUAGUAAUUUUGUUAUACAACAUUCCCAGCUUUCUUUCAAUCAGGGGGGGAAGGUAUGGGGGACUUUUGGGAUAGCAUUGGAAAUGUAAUUGAGGAAAAAACAUAAUAAAUAAAUUAAAAAAGAAGAAGAAAAAAAGGCACAUGUAAGUUAACAAGCUGAGAUUAUAGUACUCAUAUAUCUUUUGAUUUAUUAUUUUCCGUGAAUAGUAUAUUAUUAAUUUUUGUUAUUAAAUAUUCAACGACUCUAUCUCUGUUAACAGUUAUAUAGCAGCCUGUACCAUCAUUUAUUCAUCAUACUCUGUUCUUGAAAAAAAGCAUUCGGUCAGUGCUUUUAUUUUUAAAAGAGGAAGGCAUUCCAUUUAAUUUGGUUUUGUUUUGUGGCCAUAGUAACAUUUAUAGCCUUAGAAAAGGGACUAGAAGGAUUAAUCCAGUUAUGUUUCUUCUUGGGUGAAACACUCUUGCUACAGAUCCACAAUCUCCUAAGUACACGGAGGAUCACAGCAACAUGAUCGAUGUAGCAGAUGCACACCAUUGGGAGCCCAGGGAAACUCUGAGGGAGCAAGAGCUAAGAGUAUUGCGCAAUUGCCAGAGAAACACCAGGGUCUGUGCUUAGAAUUAUAGGGAGAUGACUGCAUUUAUUAGUUCUUUCUUAUUUGUCAUUCACGGGUAACUUAUUUCAUUGACUCUUUUCCUCAGUUAAAUUAGUCAACUUUCCUUUUUUCUGCUUUUAUUUAUUUGUUCGGUUUGGCAAUGUGCACAACCAGAGUUGUCUUGGAAGCCUGUGCAAGCCAGGGGAUAAUUUGCAGGAGCUGAUUUUCUCCUUCCAUUCUCUGGGUCCCAGAGAUCAAAUUUUGGGUCAAAUCUUGGGCUUAGUAGCUUACCUCUUGAGCCGUCUCUCCAAAGCCCCUCACAAAUGUGAGCAAAGGCUUUCCAUGUCUGUCACGAGUCGGGUGUCUUCUUCCUCCCAGUCCAGUGCUCUCCUUCACUGAACCUUUUGUGACUUGGCUCAACUACUAUUUGUCUAAUGCUUUUUGCUGCCACUUGACUUCGCAGUGAAAGGGACUUUCACUUGGCUUUUGUACAUGAGCGGUUGUAGGGGGGAAAAAAUCUCUCGGGCAAAUUUCAAAUUGUUUAGAACUGUGGCACUUUAAAAGCACCUCGGCAUUGAUCUACUAACUCUAGAUCUCACCUCUCUGUGCUACUUUUAGAGUUUGUAGAUGGAUACUGUCCAGCAGAGGAGAGUCAUCUACGUUCUGAUGUCGAUUUGUUUUCAGAGAUCAGACACUUGACAUUCCUAGAGUGGACUGUCCCUUUAAAAUAUGAAACAAGUAAUGGCCUACAGAAAGAUUAUGAUAAAACUUUCCAGUUUUUUGGCUUUUCCCUUCGGCCCUGACUGGAUGUGUAGUCUACUUCCCACAAUCCUGUAUGUUACAUGGUUCCCUACCCAGACCACUCCCUUUGCCCCACCCCAAAAAUGGCUACUGGGCUUUCUCAAUCAUCUUGCAUGCCACCCCUCGCCUUCUUUUAUGUUUCAGAGUUGUGUGUGAAGAAUCACAUUAGUGAUACUGUAUGCUUUCUUUUACAAUCUAUUUACGUUUACACAUAUUUAUUUUUAUAUUUACAUAUUUCUCAUUGUUUACCAGUUGGCAAUAGUGAUAUUUUGUGAGCUGACUUUACAUUUUACUUCCGGGAUCCAUAUCAUUCAAAGCUUUAAGGUCUUAUUAAAGGCACUUGAAGGUUUUCUGGGUGUUAUUUAUGCUUAGUGUUUUUCUGUAAUGGAGUUGGUAAUGUGUCAUUGUUUCCUCUUCUAAAUUUAAGUAACUAAAUACUCUGACAGAUUCCUAGAGCUUCCUUCUACCACUAGCAGGUGAGCUCUGGUUGUGUUACAACAGGGCGCAUUAGCUCUGUUUACAUCUACUAAUUUGUUUUUAGAGUAUUGUCCUUCCCAACCACACUUUCCAGUUCACCUGCCAUCUUUCACAGGCAGCAGUGAGAGAGGUUUACCUUUUAAACUCAUAUUUUUUUAAUGUUUUCAAUCCUAGAUUUCACUUUUCCUUUAGUUUAAUCAGUCAUGGAGUCUUUUGAUUAUUAGCAUAUGCUUGACUCUGGUUUUAAUAAAAGUUAGUUUUAUUAUCAUAAAAUGUCUCCCAGUUGAUAACCUUGAAUUAUUUAGAAGUAGAAUAUCUAACCACAAAUACCUCCUAAAAUUAAUGUGUUCAUACUUCAAAUACCCAUAUUUUAUCUUGCUUCUUAUUUCAAAGGCUGACUCUUCUGCUUGUCAGUUAUUCCUCAAAAACUCCUGGAAACAUUUAGGAUAUAUCUAAAUUUCUUUAUUCUUGUUGCUCUGUUCUUCCUGUGUUUAGUUAGAAUUUUCAACUAUUCAGAAAAUUUCUACAGAUUUCUAAUUGAGUUUUUAAUUAUUUCUCUACAUUGAGAAAGAAUAUAUCCCAGGGUCUUUUUAUUAAAGGCAAAGGCUUCAUGGUCUGUGAGAACCUGAAAAGCCGGACUCCAGCUUGGGCAAACUCCUUACCAUUUCAAUGUAAUUACAUCAUGUCCCACGAAGACCCUGGAAAAGAUAAAAGCCAUGCAUUUUUAAGACUUCAUUUUGGGGUUGGGAAAAGACUCCGUUUACAGUUUCUAUUAUGAUUUUGUGUGCUUACAUUUGGCAAAUUUUACCUCUGACUCCAUACUCAGGUACUUUCAGAGACUUUAUUAAUUUCUGAGGUACAGAGAAGCAUGUCAAUAAACACUGGAUAUCAUAGAGUUUUGUGUAUAAAACUUACCCAGUGACCUCUGCACUUUUUUGAAUCUGACAUCAUCCAGUUAAGUAGAUGUCACUCUUCCCAGGAAGAAUGAGGUGAGAGUCUGACUUUUGGAUGGGAUUCAUCUUCCUCUUAGCUUUUUGAGGAGGCAAUCUUAAUGAUAAUUGAUGGUAUAUUCUCUGUUUUAUUCCUGGGUUUAGGAUACUUCUGGUGCUUUUAAUUACAGGUUGGGAUAUUUCUAAUAUUUUCUCAAGUUCCUUCUGCAGAAUCAGAGGCUCCCAAAGCAGAAAAACUAAUAAAUGUCAUCUAAACGUAGUGUUGCACAUACUUUGACUUGAAGGAGAGCCAUAUUCUCAUGGAGUCAAUGACAUAGUCUGGGGUUUGAAACAGAGUUCAUUGAUGACUUAAGAAGAAUUGAAGUCAGGGCUACUGAACAAUAUCCCCCUACUGAAUCUCUAAUUAGUACAUGCUUCCCCACAUGUUGUUGGGCGGGGGGAGGCAGUGGUUUCAAAUUCCCUUUUCUUUACAUUCAUUAGGGGCUCCUUAUUUAUGCUGUACAUAUAUGUGUUUCAGGAACUAAUUUCCUAUUGAAUAAACAAAGCACAUUGUACUCCCAUGUUUUGUGACUAUACCAAGCAUAGUCAUAUUUAACAAUCCUAAAAAAAAAAAAAAAAAACAAAAAAACCAGUUGUUUCAAAAAACAUAUUCAUCUUUAGCUGAUCACCUUCCAAACUGCCAUUAACUUUCAAACGGGUAGAAAAGUCAGGUUGGGUGGCGGUUUAUUGACUGGAUUAUAAGGUAUCAUAUUUAUUUUCCUGUUUGCCCUAACCAUACUUCCCUCCAAUCCUCAUUCCAGUCUUUAGAGCUUUCCAUUUUAAUAUUUCUUCAUUAAUAUAAAUUUUUUCUUGUCCACCAUUUUGGUUAUUUUUUGUUUACUCAUGCAGAUAAGGCUCCUCAAAAGUCUAAUGGUAGAGCAACAAUUAACUUUUCCAGAUUUUUUUACAAUAGAGGACUGUGUCUGAAAAUGAUUUAUCCCACUGGGAACUCAGAAUGUGUCUUUUAGCAUAUUAGAGAGUAUAGUAACCUUUUCUUUGAUUUCUAUUUCAAAGUUUACUUGUCACUUUCCAUUUGACCAAGACAUUAGGUGUGGCCUCUCCAUCUUGGCCUUUGAGAAUGUGCAGAGGACUUUAGUGAAAUGCUUGUCUCCUCAGAAUGUGGUCACUAAGAAUGAAGUAAGAGAUGGAGAGUUGCGUCAUGAUAUCUGAACAUCAUGGAGACCGAGAUCAAGCAAAAGACUCCAGUCAUUCAAAAAUCAUGCCAAUACUACUAAUAGCUCCAUAGUAUUUUAAACUAAUUACCUUGUUCAUUUCCUUUAUGAUUACUAGCACACAGGCAAAGAAACUGGAAUAGUAAGAAGUUUGUCAAACAGAUAACAAUGGAUUGAACUGGCUUUGAACCUGGCUCAUGGCCCCACAUGCCUAAUCAUGACAUGAUACACUUUCAUGAUAAAGAAGACUACUUAGAUAGAUAUAAGUUUAUAAAGAAAAAAUGAUUGCUUAUUCAUCUUUUGAGUACAUCUUUAUCUGUAUAAUAAUCAUCGCUAAUGAGGGUUCAAAGGACCAUUGAUGUGUCCAUAUUUUCAUUCAUGGCUCUAAGUGGUCCUUGUGCCUUUUUAAAUCAUCUUUAGUAGUGAUUAUGGCUUAAAUAAAGGUAUUAGAUUUAGAACUGUUUGCUGCUGAGGUGCCGGAAGGGAUGGCAUUGGCCAUGAUCAUGACUGUUGGUGUUGUUAGGAUGUAGCUGAGAAGCCCCAGAAGAUGAGAUGGGCACAUUCACUAAGCAAAGCUCUGGAGAGACAGCUUUUUAACACAAAGGCUUUGUUUUUUUUUUUUUUUUAAAUGCUAGCUGCUGUAGCAGAGAGACUAUUUGACAUUGUGUGUGAUAGAGAACACAACACAUAUAUAUUUUUUGAGUAAAUAGGAUCAGUGUUCUAGGCAACAUGCAGCCCUGACAGAGACAAGGAAUGUUCUAGAAUUUUCCAGCCAUAGUAAGAAGCCAGUUUCAGAUGAUGCUGUGAAAAAAAAAAGCAAACAAACAGGUGUCCCCUUUAAAAAUAUUUACAAGAGUAAAGAAGGUAGGUACAAAUGUAUAUUUCUUGGACAAUAUUUAGUAUAUUGAUUCAAUAUACUCUGUGAGCUAUGUUAAAAAUUUUCAGGAGUGGCAAAAUUAGUGUAGUCUUAAAUUUUGUAUAUUAAUACCUUCAUGUUCCACUGGAUAUAAUUGAUCUGAUGUUGCUUACUACAAGUGUAUGAAAAUUAAGUGUUUAGUUGAAAAACUUUAGCUCAUCCUAUGUGUUUAGGAGGUCUCAUAAAUAAAUGUAAUUUUAUACAGUAUUCAUGUAUUAGCAUUUCUCUUCUGAAUUUACAGUUUGUGAUCCUUUCAACUUGAAGAUGUUGCAAACAAGAAGUUUCUAUUAAUCCAGCUAAAGAGACUGACUGAUGUGUAACCUUUUCUUGCCUUUCCAAAUAGAGAUAUGCUUGGUUGUUUACAGCACUGUCAAUGUUUAUUUAAUUCUGCUGUUUAGAUUCCACAUCUCCCAAGCCUCUGCCUUAAAAGGCUUUCCUUUUCAAGAUCCUUGUAAACAAGACUUGCCUGUCAGUCAGCCCCAGAUACACACACACACACACACACACACACACACACACUCCUAAAAAAAGAAACAACUAAAACAAUCUACUUCUCCACUACAGUAUUUGAAGUCUGGCUUCAGUGGAUCUUUGAAGGCUGAUUUUAUCCUCCUGGCUGCACAAAUCCCACUUCACCUCAUCUUAUAUUAUCUGCAGAAAUCUUGCUGCCAGUCAGUUUCACACAUGCCCUGACUUCCCGAGCUAUGGAGGCUAGGGAAGCAUGCCCUUCAGGAUGGCAGCACUGCCUUGCAAAGUACCAACAAAUGGGAGCAGUCAGAAUGUGGCUGUCAUGUGAACUUGGUAACAGCCAGAAGGUAAAGUUGUGGCAUGCAAUACAAGUCUUUCAUGUUUGACUGGUUGAUGAAAGCAUCUGUUUCGUGUGUGUGUGUGUGUGUGUGUGUGUGUGUGUGUGUGUGUUCUAUAUGUGUAUAUGUGCACAUGUAUACAUGGGUGCUUUCAAGGACUGAGACAAGGAAAGGGUGCUGAAUCCCUGAAAGAUGAAGCUCAGACAUUUGCAGGAUCCUGGCAUUGUUACAUGGGUGUGUUGGGAUCGGAGUUCUGGUCCUCAUCAUGUGCAACAUGUUCAACAUGUGCUUUAGUCCCAAUUAUUUUGUGCUAUGCCUUGACUGACUUCUGUUUGAGACUUAACUGUCUGUUUCUCUUUGAGCUAGGGUGAGAUUCUUUCUAUCUUUUGGUUAAUUUUUAAGAUGACAUUUUAGUCUCUAUUCAUUCUCAUGGAUUGAGACAGUGUCUUACAAAUUUGUUACUUUUUAAAACUCAACUUAUCAUCUUCUCUUAUAACCAGCCUUCCCAUUCUGUAAAACAGUCAUGACUUACCUGUAAGAUUAGCAUUUCUGUAUUCUAUCAGAACUCAGAAAGUGUUUUUUGUUUUGACAAUUUUGAUCACAAAAGUACUCCUUCUUUUAAUAGAAGCCAGGUAGCAUCUACUGAAUCCUGUGUGUCCCUUUUGUUUCUGUAUUAAGUAUAUUGCUAGGUUCAAGUAGAGUAUAGAUUCACUAUCAAACAUGAACGAAAGUCAUCAUAAAAUGGUUCUCACUCCUUUUUCAUUCCAUAUUCCUUGCUGGGUAUCUUGGUAUCAUCUAGCUGAUAUACCUGAUAUAUUUUCCUCCACAUUAGGAAUUUGAGUUAUAGGUAAUACUUGUGGUAGUAAAUUACCUUCAACAAAAUACAGGAGUUGAAAGCAAUGGGAGUGUGUAUCUUAUGGGGCAGAGUAUGUGUCUGGAAGCACAAAGGAGUUUCCGGACCAUAGACUCAUUCAGAUCCUUAGGGUCCAUCAGACCUCAAGAUGGUGAUCUUGCCUAUUAUUUUAGCACAUAUAUGAUUUAAAACUAUGCAUAGCACCGAACUCCAAUACCAAGGGAGAAAACAAGGCUUGUACUGUGGUGAAUCGUGGCAGCAAGUUAAAUCAUAUCUGAUUACUUUCCACUGGGUAGAAAUGGAAUGGUAUGUCCUUAUUUAAAAUUUCUUAACAUUUGCAAACUUUGGGUACAAUAAAACAUAUUUUGAUAAAUGAAAGUGUCUUUGACAGUACUCUCUGUUCUCCAUGUAAAUCUGAUGAUUUUAACAGAGAAUAUUAUUUAUAAGUUUGUUUUGUAUAUGUGUUUAUGCUGUGAUGGGAGUCUAUAAAAAUAAGUAACAUCCUGUUUCCUACCAAAUAGAUAUAUUUUGCAAGUAGAUAGAGGCAUUCAUUGUGUACAUACCUUCUUUAGAGGCAACACUGCCACAGGCAACAACCACCAAGCCAGUUGUCGAUUUUACACACAUAUUAAUUUGGACCCCCAAGAUUCAUUUGCAUUUCUGAUACUUACUGGAUUUAACUUACAUAUGGCAUUAUAUAACUUUAAAGCAAUUUUUAGUCAUCAGGUAUAAAAUUGAAAAUUAAAAAAAUCUACAUUCUCCUAAAGUAUAAAAAUUUAUACAGCACUUGGGAGUCUCAUGGGAUUUUGGGCUCAUCAACCAAAAACAUAUGACCAUUGGACCAAUUCUUCUUUAAAAAUGAUAUGAAGUUAGGCUAAGCGAUUUCAAUGACCUCGUCCACUAUUAAACUACUCUAAUGAUCAUAAUUUCACAAAAUGAGUCAGCAAAUAUUUUCUGCGUGACAACUAUAUCUAAAAUAUUAGAAUAAAUGCUAGACAGAACACUGGACAGAUCUUUAAGAGCCCAUAGGUAAUGUGUGAAGAAACAGCAUCAAAUUAUUAUUAAGCAAGGCAGAACCUAAAUCGGUUUGUAAUUUAAAAACCAUGAAUUAAAAUACAAUUAUAAAUAAAUUGAGGUUUAUUAUGGAAAAUCUGGGAGAAGCGAUUUUGUUUCUUUCCCUUUGAGGUUUAUUAUGGAAAAUCUGGGAGAAGCGAUUUUGUUUCUUUCCCUUAUUUAUAUAUUUCCAUUUUCAACUGCAAGUCAUUAGCAAGUCACUAUUGUUUGGGAAGUAGAGAGCUAUUGUUCUUUAGCUUAUAAUGUUAGUACAUGGAGUAGUUCUUAAACAAAUCUAAGAGUGCAUCUACUCCCCUAUUAAAAAAAGAACUACUCUACACUAAGUUAAAUGAGGGAAGCUUAACUGCAUCUGUGGUUGUUUUAACUGUAUGCAUGAAGAAUAAAAUUUGGACAGUGCACACAUAGGACUUGCAGGGACUCACAGUGUGUCAUAUUUUGCACUUUUUAUGAAUGUUGAUAUGUUUUCAGAAUAAUUUAUAACUGCAAUUGAAAACUGAAUGGCUAUUGAUUAAAUUUUAGUUUCAAAAACUAAUUGACAUAUAAAGCUUCAUAAAUCCUUUUAGAAAAGGAUGAGUAUAAAUUAAAAACUAAUUACAGCAAAGGCUUAUAAAAUACUCCAAUUCCAGUUCUAUGGUUAUAUACUGUUGUAUGCUAUGAAGGUGUUCCUUUGUCUUCUUAAUCAAAACUCCUGCCAUAGAAUUAAAUAUGAACCAUAAAAGAUAUUUUAAUUGCUAAUGAUUACUUUAUAUAUAGUAUCCCUUUUCAAGAGAGUUUAUAAGAAUUUUUAAUCAGUAAUAUUUAAAAAUUUAAAAAAGAACAGAAGUGGGCCAUGUUAAGGCAGCAGAACCAAUUGCCAGUUAUCUGUAACCUCUAUCCUUGAUGCUAAUAAGCCUUUUACCUUCGAAGACACUAAGCAUCUGGGAUCUAAGUAGUGACACCUAUUAGUUACAAUGGUUUCCUUUUACCUUCUAAGCAAUCUGAUAGAUAAACCUCCAGGAAUCCCACAAAAUUGGACCCUUAAUUGACCAAAUGAAUGGCUGUCUCUCUUUUACAGUAUAAAUUGAAAAGUGAGUUUGCUCCCAUGAGGUAAGACAUAACUUAGGAAAGAAAUCACGCUGAGACUCCACUUGCCACAUUAGUGUGCCCUUGUAAUCUCACCAAAAGCCACCCACCAACAGUAGGACAAAGUGAUUCUUCUAAAACGCACAUCGUUCUUCAAAUGAUUCAUCUCAAUUUCAUCUUCACCAUCACUUUAGAAACAUGCCUGAAACCACAUUUAUUUUAAAGAGUUUUAAGUAACAUUUGAGGAUCACCUGAUAUAAUAGAGAAUACUCUUUUCAAGCAAUAUAGCAGCAGAGAAGGUAGCUAAAGAGGGUGUUCUGAGAUUUUUUUUUUUUCCUGUGUGACUUCCUUUCAAAUACUGGGAAAUAUGAAGUAUUUUAAAGGCAAUCUGUGAAAUAGCAAUUUUAUAUGUAGUAUGGUUAUUCUUUUUGUCUACACUUCUUUAAGUACUAAACAUACUAGAAAUUAUAAUUCAUAUGCAAUGGCAAUAUGAGAAUUUACAUACUUCAAAUAAAAACAAUUUAAAUUCAUUUAAAAAAACCAAUUCAAUUACAAUUAAGUAACUGGGUAAUAUUUUCACAAAAAUCCAUUAAAUCAUAUUCUUUCAUUAAAAUAGUUUAUACAUUUUUAAUACAAAUGAAAAACAGAACCAAAGAGAUAAUAAAAUAGCAGCAGAAACUAAUUAACUGGAAACAAAAAGAGAGUUUAUAAAAUCUUUGGAUAAAAAUCAGUCCAAUAAGCAAAUGUCUUGCAAUUUCAAUAAAAAUGAAAAAAUAAAGCAUGCAAAAUUAGCAAAUGAUAAAGUGGGCAUAACUGCUGAUAAUAAAACUUAGAACUCUAUAAAAAUUACCUCACAGAAGCCCAUUUUUGCAUACUAAAAAUCCUAAUAAGUUGUAUGAGAUAUUUUGGGAAAUUAUAAUUAUAAAAAUUCAUUUACAGAUUAAGUGAAUGAAUAUUGGACAAAAUAGAAAAUAAAGUGCCAAAGAAUUACUUCUUAUAAGGCUUUUCUCUCUGUGCGCUUAGAAACUGUCUAGUUGAAAUGCUAAGAUAAAUUUAAUUCUUAUGUUAACAUUUUUAAAGAAAAAUGUCAAAGGAAAAGGAAACUUUCAUUCCCUUUAUUAUGAAGCUGUAUAACCAUAAUGUUUAUUCAUCAUAAAAGAUCAAACAAAAUCAUAUUUUUUUAUAUAUACCAAUCCUGGAAGUACUGAGCUGAGAGUAUACAGGGGGUUACCAUGGGAUGUGGGGUAGGAGAGAGAAUUUUGGUAAGACAUUGUGCAAAUGACACAAAGCUUUAAUUAAGUUCAAGAAAUGAAUUACAGUCUUAGGGAGAAAGAUAGAUCUUCAAGAAAAACUCUUGCCUAUUGUGUACAAAGCUCUGGCUUUAAUCCAAAACACUGCAAACAAGACAAACCAAGAGUUAGGUAGAUACCUUACAACAGGAAGACUAUAUUUAAUAAUAAUAAAAAAACAUGUUCUUGAAUAUCACUAAUAUAGUAAAGUAUACAAACACAUAAAUGAUAAAUAUGAGUAAUUACGUAUGUGCACUACCUCUAUGUGUCCACUCCACAUGUUAUACUCUUCAAACAAUCAUGCUGACAAUAUAAUAGAAAACAUACAUAUAUAAAGCUCCAAAAUAAAAUGAAAAUAAAUCAAAUAAUUCAUCAACAUAUAUAGAGAGGAUAUAUGUUACUAUAAUGAAGUAACUAUCCCAGGAAUGCACAAUUUAACAUUCUUAUACCUUUUCUUAUACCUAUUAUUUCUCAAAGAACAGAAAUCUAUUUCCAUCUUACUUUAUUUUGUAUACUUAUAUGUGUAUAUGUCUGUAAAUCUAUUCAUGCCUCAAGUUUGUAUGGAAAUAAAAGAGCAACUAGUGAGUGUUGGUUCUCCACUCCUACCAUUUGAAACUGGGAAUAAAAAAACAGGCUUGGCUGUAGACACCAUUCCCUGCAGAGGUAUCUUACUGGCAGAGAAGAUUAAUAUAUUUUUAAAAGUUACCAUAAAAAUACAUCCAUUUUGAUAAAAAAAUUCCCUGCACAGUAGAAAUAAGUAAAACAUCUCAAUAUUGUAUACAUUUAAAUUCCAUAAAAUGCAGAAUACUAUGUCUAGGUGAUAUAUACAAUAUGAAAUAUAUAGAUGGACAAUAAUAUGGAUCUUGUUCUCACCUUAAUAAAAGUAAAUUUCAACAAUGUUAAGAAUUAACCAGUGUAAGUUGGUGCUUCUCUGUGGUAUCCUGGUUCACCUAUGGCUUUCAGGGACAACGGUUCAUUUGUCACCAGUUCAUUCACUGCAUAAAGAGGAAACUUUCUUAACUUCCUGUCUCAUUGUCUUAAUGUGGAUGAUAUAUAAAAUAACAUUUGUCUUCCUGCUGUGCUUCUCUGUGGUCAUCCACCCUUUGGUAUGGUAGACUUUGGAUAUUCCUGGUUCCAAUUCUGUCAAUAAAUUGAGAUUCAGAAGGAACCUUUACUAAUAAUUUGGAAAUCUCACUAUACCCCUGCCCCUUUGCUUAGAAUCAGUGGCAGCUCGUCCCUCUUUCCACUGCAGGGCAUGGGAGCCGACCGUUUGCUAGGGGGUUUCUGACGGUUUUGGGUGUUUACUGGGAUGACUUGAUGGUUGUGUCAUGAGAGUGAGGAACGAUGGGGUCUAGAGGAACUUAGAAAAGGGAUAGAAGACCGCAACACUAACCACAUCCACGGAUCUUGCCCACACUGUCAGUAAUAAGAACUGCACUGGUGGGAGAAGAAGGACUAGUGGAGUUCAUGUCAGAAUUUAUCUCCUUUGACAAAUAGUCCUCAACAUGUGGUCUAUAAAGAAUUAUAUUAAUUGUAUGAUCCUGAUUCACACGAAGGCACCCUUUAUACCUCCACAGUAAUACUAUCUUGUUUGGUUUAUGUGACGAUGACAUCAUGUCAUCUGUCUAGGGAGGGGGAAAAAAGAGAGUAAACUAUGAUAUGUUUCUUUGUCCUUGUUUUUUUUUCUUGCAUUUCAUAAACCUGCUCUCAUUAAACACACUAACAAGUACAUACAAUUAAAUGAUCUACAGAAUUCUCUCCUUCUAAAGAAGUUAAUUUAUGCUAUUUUUUUAUCUCAGGAAUAAUACUACUGGAUUUCCCCCCAGUUUUACAGAGUUCCCAUUGUCUUUUGUAAUACUUGCUCCCACCCUCCAGACCAAGGAAUGGUGGAUAAUAAAUUUCCUUUUGUCAUCUCUUCAGAACCAAAGUUGAGACAUAAGUAUAUUAUUAUUAUUAUUAUUAUAUUUGGAGUAGUAAUUUUGGAAUCUGGAUAUCAGAAAUUUAUUACCAUUGAUCAUAUUACCCUGAGAAAUGUUGCUGACAAAUAUGUUUCAGGGUGAAGAUAUGAUCCAGUUGUUACAGGGUUAAACUGGAGCAACCUGCUUACAAAGCAAAUUAGAAACUGUCACUAAACUGCAUCUAUACAAGAUGAUGCUCCAUAAUUUCCAGUUGCACCCUUACAAUGUGUGCAACUUUACUCGAUUUUCUAAAGAAGUGCUGUCAGAUAGAGCCUGACUUCCUCACUCAGGAUCUUCAGUCCUUCUCCAUCACUCUUCCACAAGGAUCCCUGAUCUCCUCCAGUGUUCAGCUGUGGGUACCUGCAUCAGUGAGCUGCUGGGAAGAGCCUCUCAGAGGCUGCUAUGCUAGGCUCCUGUAUGCAAGCAUACUAAUAGUGUCAGGGAUGGGUGCCUACCCAUGGGAUGGGUCUUAAGUUGGUCCACUUGCUGGCCAGCCAUUUCUUUAGUCUCUGCUUCAUCUUUGUUCCUGCAUUUCUUUGAGACAGGACCAAUUUUGGGUCAAAAGAUUUGUAGUUAGGUCAGUGCACACCAUAGGAAGACGAAAAGUGGCAACUAACCUGGACUCCUGGGAGUUUCAAGAGAAUGAGCCACCACUCAAAGAGCAUAUAGACUGGACCAAGGACCGGAACGCAUGCACCAGAGGGCUGCCUUGUCUGGAAUCUGAGAGAGGAUGAACCUAAUCCUGCAGAGACUUGAUCCACCGUGCUAUGGGGAUAGAGGGGCAGGGCUGCCCUCUCAGAAGAUAAGGGAAUAUGGGGAAAGGAAUUUUGUGAGGGGAGGGGCAGGAAUGUGGCAGCAUUUGAUAUAUAAGUAAAUAAAUAAAUACAUAAAUAAAUAAAGUAAGUAAGUAAGUAAGUAAGUAAGUAAGUACAUUUUAAGAAGAAGCUGAAUUCCUGAUCAUUUUUAACAUACCUCCCAUGAAGUUUCCCUUUACCUAGAUUUCCUAAAGGCUCAAAGACUAGAGUGCUUCUGGGCUGCUGUCAGUCCAGUUGACUGUGCAGCCUGACUUGAGUUCCGUGCUCUCCUGCAUAUCUUAGCAGUGUUAUUGCUCCUUGAGCAGGUUGAUUGGCAUCCAGCAAUCCCUCAAUGACUACAACCACGACCUCUGGAUGCAUUUACCAUCUGUCCGACAGAGAUAGUACUUCAGGAUACCAGAAUGUAUUUAUUAACUUCUGCAAGGCUUUUUCUUGAUUUCCCAAGAUGAUUACAGGAAAUAUUGAAUAAAAUUGGUCUCUAGGUAGGGCUCUAUCAAUUUCACAACAACAGGAUAUGUUUUCUUUAGAAAUGUACACUCUGUUGAAAUACAGAUUUAAGCAGGAAUUGACAAUAUGAUUCUAGUAUAAAGAUGAGGGUCUUAAGAUGGCUUUAAUUGUGGCUUCAAAUUAAGACAAAGCCAAAGGAUAUUUUCUGGUAUUAGUAAGAAUUAAUUGAUAUUUUUUAAGCUUGUUAAAAUAUUAUUUAAUAAAUGAGUUAUGUGUAUGUAUGUUGUCUUCAACAUGGGGCCUUGCUGUCAGUUUGUGGAAAACAAUCUAUAGUCUAGGCAAUAGCCUGGGUUGUUUAGAGCUCAUAGUGCCUCUUUGUCCAACAGCUGCAUUAGAUGUAGACUGAUACUACUACUGGAAUUUGAAUUUGGUGACAAGUGAUGUCCAUCUUGGGUCCUUUCUUCCCAUUCUUUGGUGAUUUAAUUUAGCUCCCCUUGAGAUGUAUAUAUAUACAUAUAUAUAUAUGGAGUAAAUAUAUGUAUAUAUAUAUAUAUAUAUAUAUAUAUAUAUGUAUAUAUAUAUAUAUGGAAGCUUCUAUUGUAUUAGUUUUCCAUAUUACCCCUCUAAUGACCCUUAAUUUUAGUGCUCUCUUUCUCUCUCUCUCUCCUUGUAUUUCCUCCCUCACUCCCUUCCCCUUCCCUUUUGAUUCUCCAUUCUUGCCCAUUGUCUACAACUAUUUAUUCUAUUUUCCUUUCCUAAGAAGGUCUAUCUUUCUCAUGGAGCAUAGAAAAGUUAAGCUGAAAUGGUACCAAAAUGGAGUCUUCGCCUCUAUGUGCUAGUGUCUUUGGUAUAGGAUGGUACUCUGUACAAUACCAAAAGAGAAACAUAAACACCAACCCAGCUACAACCCUUUUAUAAAUAUAAAAGGUUAUGUUAUAUAAAUAACAAUGGUUAUUGCCUGAAAGAAACAGCAAUAUAUAGGGCAAUGGGGGCAUAGAGCUUGUUGGAAUAGCCAACCAAUAUUCAAUUUGAUGUAAACCCCACUCCAGGAAAUGCAACUCAUAUCAACAUUUUUUGAGUGAUCUAGAACUGAGACUAGAUAACACAUGAACCUAGGGUAAACAAACAAAUAUUACUGUUCUAAAAUAUAUAACAUAACAGCAGCAUGACUCCUAUUGACAUUCUGCUAUCCUCAUAGAUCUGUGUCUCACUUAGUCAUCAUCAGAGAAGCUUCUUUUUGCAGCAGAUGGAAACAAAUAUCCUUCCACACAGGGCUCAGAGAGACCUGGAGAAGAGGAGGCAAACAGUCUGUGAGAGCAGAUGGUAUGAAAGAGACCAUGAGAACAAAGACCUCUGAAUAAACAUGAUAAAGGCUCGUGUGAACUCACGGAGGAUGCAGAAGCAUGCACAGGGUCUGCCCAGGUUUGCCCCAGGUCCUUUACUUUAUAGUUUGGCUUCUAGUUCAGUGUUUCAUUGGAAUUCCUGAUUAUGUGAGCCUGUGGGUAUCUGAGCUUUGCGCCUGCUUUCUGUUUGUUCUUUUCUUUCUGUUUAUUUCUUGUGUCCAAUUAUGAUGUGUUAUUUUAUUUUAUUUUAUUUUAUUUUAUUUUAUUUUAUUAUUGUCCCUUAGAAGCCUGACUGUUUCCCAACAAGAUACAAAAAGCAAGUGGCUCUGGAUGGGAGGGGAAGAGGAUAGGAACUGGGAUGGGUAGAGAAAGGGUAGUACUUAACCAGGAUAUAUUAUGUGAGAAAAAAAAAAAAAACCAACCCUGUUUUCAAUAAAAGAAAAAGAAAUUAUAUAAAAUACUAUUCAAAACAUGUAUAUUAGUUUUAUCAUGGACUACAGGAAUUUGCCAAAGCUAUCAUUCUCUGUUUUCUUUUGGAAAACAGUGGAUAAUAAAAACUAAAACCAUGUUGGAACACCUUCCAUUCUCACUUUUCUAUUUGAAACACCCUAGCUUAGCAGUUCCCCAGGUUUUUGAUCUCUGAUCUUCCCCAUGCUUCUUAUAGAUAAAAGGGACUGGUCAAAGUUUUUCUUUUAAAGCAGUACUUCAUGGUUGUCCAGACUGCAUCAGGUUGAUCUUGGUAGGAGGAGUCUUUAUGUCUGUGUCUUUAAGUGUCUGAUUGAAGUGAAGGUUGUAAAAUAUGCCAAUCUAAAUUAAGCUUGUGUUCUUUAUAUUAAGAUUCAGACUUUAACAUGACCAAGGAGCCACUGCUUUGGUGAAUAUCUGUGCACAUUAUCAAUGAAUUUUAAGAUUUAUUUUCAAAGAGUGGAUUGUAUAGGCAUUUUCCUGACAUUUCAGAGAAUUUUAAGCAGCUGCUUCUCAAUUUGAUUUAGCCUUAAGGAUCUGUUUGCAUUACAGCUAACUCAGACAUAACUGCCUAAAGCUAAUGCAGAAAGUUCCUGGGAUCAUGAACACAAGAACCAAGGUGAAGGUGUGAAUUCAUAGAACCUGGGUGGGGUAGAGCAUGCAUCCACUACAGAUCUGUACAUUGAACAGGUAUUUGAAUGGCUAUGUAAAAAUGAUUACAUGUCAGGUUGGACAUGAAAUGAAAUAACAGAGAUAGACUUUAUUAGUAUUAGAAAGGAGGCUUCCAAUUUGAACUGGAAUGCCAUGGCCAAUGAGGCUGCAUAUAUGGAAUGUUUUAGUGUAAGCUGCCCCCCACUUUUCUCCACAUGAGGACUGUCUCUGGAGAAAAGCCAUGCUAAAAGUACUAGAGUGCAGUGCUCUUCUAGAUUAAUUGGACAGUCAAUGUAAAACAUUUUGAUUCUUUGUGUUAAUAAAUUUUACCCAGAUUCAUACAGGACAAAGGUUAUAGCAAAUGACAAAGAGAUUGAGGAGUUAAUUCUUCCUCUAUUACUCAGGAGAGUGCUCUUUGUUGGUGGUUUUGGAAGGCCAGUGUAGUUUGGGAAUAUGAAUAGUGAAAAUGGAUUCUCUUGGGUUGGAUUCAAUAUCACUCCUGCCUACAUAAUGCAGAGCCUAUUCGUAAAGUCCAGACUCCAAUUUACACAGCAUCAGGUGUAAUAUGCUGGGGAAAAAAAUCGCACAAUUCCUAAUUAAGCCUUCAAAUCCAGGAUGUCUACAAUCUAUAACUAUGAAGGAUCUAUUACACAUGAUAAAAGUAAAGAAUUAAACAAACACUAGAAACCUUCCCGAUAGCUUAGCGAUGUCCCAGGUGAGGGGAGCCUGUGCUGCAUUAUCACUCACAGGUUGAUACACAUAUUUAUAGUUGGUUUUAGGGAAAUCAUAGAGGCAAGUAUAACUUUGCUCAACUUAAGGCAACUACAUACUAUUUUAUCAGUGUCACUGGAUCCCAUGUUGGGAAUGCAGAAUAAUUGAACUUUUUAAUCUAUGUCCCUCAUUUUGCAAAUAUUAAACAGAAGGAAAUAUAUGAAAGAUAAAGAAAGAAAAAAAGCAUCUAAUUUAUGAAGGUGCUUCUAAAUUAGGGAAGUUUUAAUUAUUUUUCAGUACUGAAUAUUUUUUUUUCAAAAGCACUCUAACUACUUGGCAUGUUGGUCACAAACUAAAGGGCUCAUUGUUUCACAGGCUAACAAGAGGCUUUGUUUUCCAAAUUAGAAUGCAUGAUUGGAGCCCCUCAUCUCAUGGAAUUAGUUGUUAAUGGUAGAUUUCAGCCUUUCCAAAGAAAUAGGUCGAAGUUACAAUUGUUGUUUCCAUGACACACUAGAAUGAAUGAACAUUCCUAUAUUGAGCAAGACAGGAAAGAUAUCAGAAACAGUGCCUACAGCCCCUCCCUAUGCAAGUGAUGCUAGCUCAGGUAUGUCUUUUACCCACAUUUUCCUUCAACAGUGCUGCUGCACCCAGUCUUAGAUGAGGAUGCUUUUCCUUCUGUUUCUGUUAAGUACUGAAGAAGGAUGGAGAGGAUGCUCUCAGAGGAGACCCCAAGAAUAUGCUCUCUUCUGGUUUUCUGAAUUAACUCUGAGUUAUCAAUGUAUUCUUCAGUGGGCUUUCAAUUGCCAUGACUCUGCCAUGUAAGGAAAGAGAUUACAAAAGUGGGAGAUAACUCACCUCGGGAAAUUGAUGCUUUCUUUUCAUGUAAACACUUCUUGUAAAGAUGCCUCACGAUAGUUGAUGGGAGUCACCUCUUGCAUACUUGAGUUUAUGGGACAAAUUCUCCUCUGAGUUUCCUCCACUAUAUUGCAUUAUGAGAAUAGGAAUUAGCCUCGCUUUCUCUCUCUCUCUUUCUCUCUCUCUCAACACUGAAGUGUCCCCACAAUGGUAGUUAUGAGAACAGCACUAUUUAAUAUUUUCUUUGAUAGAACAUUUUAAAGGGAACCCUGGGUGCAUAUUGCUUGGCUUUGUUUUCUUUUCAAACCCUUAGGCAAGAAGCAUUUGCUUUAAAAUUUAGGUAAGACCAUGCUAACUGUGAAAUACAGACUAGAAAUCCCAGUCUGUCAAUUCAAAUAGAAUUCACCAAGAAAAAAAAAUACUAGAAUAUUUUAAUAUUUCUCAGGGCAUUUAAGCAAAGCACACAGACUCUAGUGGCACUUUGCAUUCCAUUCCAUUCUUGCUCAGGAGAAAUUUGAGGUCUGUGAAAUAUGUUCAGAGGCGUGAUAUGAAUCUUUGCCCAAAGAUCCUCUUAGGAAGUUGAGGAAAGAUGCAUGGGCAUGAGAAAAAAAAAAAGAAAAAAAAAAAAAAGCUUUCUCAUAUCCUACUGAUCAACUUGGUGUAAGCCCUGCCUUCUCUUAUAGCUUGCUGUGAUUAUAUUAUGCUGUCUAUAUUCUUCCUUUUCCUUAUAGUUACUUUUGGUAACUCCUAGACCUCUUGUGAGGGCAUUUUCUUUUAUGAGAAAGCUUUUCCCAACAUACUGAAAAUUUCUUUCAAUUCAUAGAACCUAUUGCUGUCCUCAGCACUCCUGUACUAUUGUGGGCUUUCUGUUUCUCAUUUCCAAUCUGUUGGUUUGGUGUGUACAUCAGACUGUGUGUGUCAUGGAGACAAUAGGCAUGCCACCGACGUCUAAUGAUGUUGAGUACUUGUUCCUAUGUAUUUUGUUUGCCUACCCAUUUUGAUGACUUUCAACUAUACAUCCCGUUUUUCAACUUGAUUACAGAAAAAAACACCCAAUCAUCAUUCCUGUAUUUGAACAAAAAUGAAUCAAAUCGUGUAGGUAAUGAAAUUGAGUAUAAGUCUCUCUCUUCUGCAUCCAACCCACAGGCAUACACAAUAACUGACUCUGGGCUCUCUGGACUUGACACAUCUAUCACAAUGAUGAACUCUCGGAGGGAACUGGUCUUAUAAAGCCACACUCAUUCUUACUGAACUGUGGUGUGUUAGCACAUCCUUGGCUCAGAAAAUGACUCUUUCUAGUUGUAUCCCACUGCUGACCCCAGGAAGCUCUGCUGAAUAUCUCUAAACACACAUUCACCCACACAGGCCUGGGUAAACUUAGUAGGUAACAAAAGAUCACUAGCAAGAACAACAUCAGUAGGCAUGAAUAUGAAAACAGGUUUGUAAAGUAGACAAGUAGAUAGGAAUAGUAGGGAGAUGGGAGAGGUUGGAAAUCUCGAGAGGUCAGAUUGCCUUAUGGACACCUAUGAAAAUGUUAAAUAAUCAACUUCAUUAAUACAAGAUUAAAAUAAGCUGAAACGAGUGUGUUUCUGAGAUUCUUAGAGCUUCUCCAUGUCUUCCGCUCAUCUUUUCAUUGUACAAAUAUUUUCACAUUAAUCUCUUCGUUAGCAAACUUUUAGAAUUAGUGGAUUCAGACAUGAGCUGUCCUGGGAAGGCUUGUGGAUGAGAAUAAUAACAAAGGCAUCACAAAAGAAAAAAUCAUCUGGGUUAUUUUUUUGUACCUAUAAAUAUGACGUGUUUUAAUAAAUUGUGAUAGGAUGUUAAUUGGCAUUUGAAAGUACAAAGUGAAAGGGCUUGAGCUGGUUAUUGCUUAUGCAGUACACUGAACUAAGGGUAUGAGUGCUGGCACCUUACGCUGACUUUGUGAGCCAUACUAUCUCAAACCAGAAAUUUAGCCUAUUUCCUGCAAAUUAUCUUUCCCUUGCGAGGUGAAAUUAAUGCUUGUACACAGGGUUGAGAACAAGCAAUUUCAAUAGAUGGUGUUUCAGAAAUGCUAAGUGUUAUUGUUACAAUUUGUUGCUUAUGUAGAACACAUCUUUACUUUCCGUGCUGGGCCAUGAUUGUUUAGGGAUGGCUAAACCUCAGACUGAAAGUUUAGCUAAUGAGAUGAGAUAUUUUCACAGCUUCUUGAAUCUGAGAACCUCAAAAUAUUCAGUCCCCAUGCAAAUCCGAAUUGGUUAGCAAACAUACAUCCAGAGACAAUGUCACCUGAUUUCAGCAGGAAUUAUGGGCAGAUGGUAGGGACAGAAGUGACUCUUCUGUUCUUUCUCUGACUACCUGGUUAGCAAGCUGGGAAGGCAAGGAGAGUCUCUAGUUUACAAAAGUUUGAACAUGCAGAAUAAGCUUAGAAGUGAAAUCCCCUUAAAUCAAGUUUAUUUUAAAAUUUAACAGAUUUUAUUUCUAUGAAAAUAGUGAAAUUUGAGUUUUUCUUUCCCAGUACUUUUACAGCACCUGCUGUCUUUAUCACUGACUGCUUUCCAUGGCACUUUCUCACACAUCCUUGGUUUCAUUACCUGUUACAUGGACAUAUAUCAUCUUUCAAAUUAUAUUUAAAAAGUCUAUGUAAUAAUGUCCUGUACCCAAAUAAAACUAUCACAUUACCUGUUUAUAUUUGACUCAUGGUGAGGUACCCAUAUACAAUGGUGAUAUAACAUGAAAGGGAAGCAGAAGCAUAAAGAUUCCAUGAAAAAAGUAUAGCUGGUUUUCCACAUCAAAUUCAAUUGAGAAUUCCCCUUCAAGCCAAAAUUUCACAUGUGUUGUCUUCUAUUACUGUGUCUCGCCCUUCACAUGAUCAUAACAUGAUUUUUCCAAAAAAAAAAUGACAUCAUAUCUACUCAUUUUAGACAAAGCUAAUGCUUCUAGCUCAGGAACUCUGUUCACUCAAGAGAAUGUGUUGGAAUUCAGGAGAAGCCUCUGUUUGAAGAAAUUGUUUAUCAUAACUUUGUACUUACACACUAGAUUCUAAAACACAGAAGCCACAUAUUUUAUUCUUUUAAUCAGGAAAAUGCCUUUGUUAUUAAUAUAUGGAUGCUACCUACAUCCUACCUCAAGAACAUUGUACGAAUAAUAGCUUAUAAAUCUAAGCCUGCCAAAACCCCACAUCAACAUUAGUGUUUCUCCUUUUAAUCUAGUUGAAUAUAAGCCAUCUAUCUCAGCUAAUUACCCAUCUGAAUACUUGGACGGAGUGAAUGGAAAGCUGCAUUUGUCUGCUUUUGCAGAAUACAGAAUCUCAUUAGGGGCCUUAUGGAACUGUGCCUCUAAGUUACAUCAGAGUUCAUCCCAGUUUAUAUCCUGGAUUGUUGAGAUUCAAGUGAGGAAAAUCCCACACCAACCAUUUUUCUCUUUGUCAUAAAACCAAAAUGAAGAAUGUGAACACUUUUCCCCUAAGAAGUAGAGCCAAACUGCCUUUUCCAACGAAGAACAAUCUUUGAAUGAAAGACCAGAACUAAUAUGUGCUGUUGACCUGCUGUGGAAUCACCACCCAGAAUCGCAAGAAUACAACUGAGCUUUUAAAUUACAGACAAGUAAGUCAAACUUGUAUCCUAACCUGAAUGGUAGAAAAUGGCAGAAGUGGAUUUUAAUCCAUGAGUGUCAGAAUCCUAAAUCUAGCUCCUUUUGUUAUGAACAUUUCCAGACAAAAGUUACAAACAAUAUUUUAUAAUCUACUUCUUUCAUUGAUUUUUUAAAACAUGAGAUUAUAAUAUAAUUACAACAUUUAUUCCUUCCCUCUCCCUCUUUCAACCAGCACCAUAUACCCCUCCCUGCUCUCCUGUACUUCAGAUUCCUAUACAUAACAUGUUCACUGAAUGUAAUGUUAAUUAAUAUUGAAUUUUCAGGACUGACUUUUUGGCACAAGACAACCACACAUGCCUGGUUUUGGAAACCUAGAUAAUUACUUGGUGCUCUUGAAGUCAUGUAUGAAAGGAGAAUCUCCAAAUUCAUUUUAUUUAAUCAGCAUAACCUCGAACAACAAUCUAGAAACAACUUGUCCUUAUAACCAUAGAUAACUAUAGCAUCAACACCCCCAUCAAGGAAAGUUUACCUUGCAACAGUGGAGAGUACUAAAGAAAACCAUAAACCAGUUAAAAUACAUACAGAGUAGUGAUGCCUAGUCCCAAAACAUCUAAAAUACAAUCCUGCACCUAAGGCUCAGGGAAAAUUGUGGAAGUGGCUGUGGAAAGAUAGUAAGAGCCAAAGGAUCAGGGACUUUACAGUGAGAUUGUAUCUCCUGGGAUCAUCAGUAGCUACACCAAUAAAGAUGUAUGCUCUCAGUGACAGUAUCAGCUAUGAGUUCUAUCUCAAGAGUGGACCAUCAAUUUAAUUUUUAAAACAUGGUUGGUUGGUCCUGUGACAUUAAUACCACUCUUGCACCAGUAGUCACAUCUUGCUAGGCUAGUCAUUAUUGUGGCUUGAAGGUUGCACAUCCUGGUGAAAUUGAUGUUUAUUUUUCUACUCUGGUUGUGUCCAUAGCCAGUACUGAAAGGAAGGUAGGCAGGACUAAGCUUCUAGUUUAGUACCAACUAUAUUGCUUCUAUAAUCCAAGGAUAUCUUCAGGUUUAGGGUCUUACUAGCAAGUUCUGUAACAAUCAAUGGUAUUGGCAAUAAUGUACACUGUUUUAAGGAGUGUGUAUCUGUGGGAAUCUGUGUUUAACAAUUCUAUAUUUGCAAUGAAUAAAGUUAAUAUCCAAAAUAAAACAAAACAACAGUAGUGUGACCUUGGGAGACACAACCUUUCUUGGAAAGUUUUUCUAGUCAGUUUUGGGCUUGAAGUGACAGUGUCCUUACUGAAAAGGUUGAUUUAUGGCUUUGUUAGGGCUACUGUGACAAAAUGCCAGAUUGGUGACUUCUAUACAUUUUCUCAAGGCACUGGUGGCUGGUAGUUUAAUAUCAAUGCAAGCAAGAUUUGUUUCUUUUGUGAUUAUUUUCUGUAACUUGCAAGUAGCCUCCUUGUUUUUUUCCUUUUGUCCUCAUAUCAUCUUUCCUCUGUAUGUGUAAACCAUUGGUGUCUCAUAAGAUUUCUAGUUCUGUCUGAUUAAGGCCAAUCACGUAGGGCCUUAUUUAAUCUCUAAACUUCUAAUGUCCAAAUACAAUCAUGGUGGAGAUUGGAUGUCAGCAUACAAAUUAGUCAGGACAAUUCAGUCUAGAAAACAAAAAAUUGGAAAGAUAUUCAUAACAUGAGGAAGACUGAGUCCCCCCUUUCUUUGUUUAUUUAUUUAUUUUUUUACACUCCAGAUUUUAUUUGCCACUGUCUCCCACCACCUCUACCCUUUGACUGUUCCACAUCUCAUACCUCCUCCCCAGGCCCCUGUCUCCAUGAGGAUGUCCCCAAUCCCCAACCCCCAGUCCCCAGCCAACCAGACCUUGAAUCUCCCUGGGGCUGCCAGUCUCUUGAGGGUUAGGUGCAUCUUCUCUGACUGAAUCCAGAUCCAGCAGUCCUCUGCUGUAUGUGUGUUGGGGGGCUAAUAUCAGCUGGCAUAUGCUGCCUGGUUGGUGGUCCAGUGUUUGAGAGAUCUCAGAAGUCCAUAACCCAUAAUGGACUGCAAAGAACCCUGAAAGAACUGCAGGGAUGGAAGUGGAAAGGAUCCUGAGGAGAAGAAGGUCCAGUGAUAGGUCCAAAGUGAAACCCAGCUCAAGGGGAGGUCCCAAGGCCUGACUCUAUUACUGAGGCUAUGGAGCACUCACUAAAAAGGACUUAACAUGACUGUGCUCUGGAAAACCCAACAAGUGGCUGAAAGGGCCUGAUGCAGAUAUAUGCAAUGGGCAGAAUCUGCUGACCCCUGUGGUUACAUUAGGGAAAGGCUGGAAGAAGCUGAGGAGGAGGGCAAUGCUGUAGGAGAACCUGCAGUCUCAACUGAGUCCACUCUUUCCAUUCAAGUUGGUCUUUCAUAGUUAUAGCAAAUUACAAGCUCAGAACAAAGCUAGAGUAACACAGAUUCCCUUACAUAUAUCCUGGUGUGUACUGUAUAGAUGACCACCAAUAAUGUUUCAAGAUUUGGGUUCAAUUGAAUUGACUUCAUAAUGACUAAAUGGACAAUUCAGUAAGUACUUAUAAGCUAGGCUGUUAUGUGAUUGUUGGCAUUCCUUUAGUACAUAUUAAUUGAAUUUAGGUAGGAUAUUUCCUCUGAAAAAUAGGAACCUAAAUGGCUACAUACACUUUAUAAUAGCUGUCUCAACUCUCUGAGGCAGGGACAGAGGGAGUCUAGGGCCUCUUUAGUUAUUAAUGAAUAAUACAGAAUAAAUGAGGCUGUAGCUUGGCCUGAUGAAAAUAUAUUAUUAGUUCUGAAGAGCCUAGAUACAAAAGUCUGUCACUUUUCAUAGUUCUCUGUCUUUACUCAGUGAAACACUUCUUAGCUCUCCUUGGGUCCUCAAAAAUGUGUGCUCUCAUAUCUCAGCACAGUGCUAGUGUAGUUUUAUCUGUGCUCAUAAAUGAAGUAAUGCCAUUAAAUAAUUCCUCACCCAGAGGUCCAUAGAGUGUCAGUAGAAAAGCUGGUUCUUCUUUGUUUUCUACAUUCUUUUGUCAGAGGUCUUUCUUCAAGGUUUUUUUUCCUGUCUCUGAUGUUUCUACUUUCUUUAGGCCUAGAAUUUAUGGAUUUGAUGGCCAUGUUUUGAAGACCUUGCAGCAAAAUGCAUUUUCUUUCUCUUUUUCACUGAGAAAUUGAAUGAAUAUUUAGAAAAUGUAUAUAAUAUACUACUUUGCAAGACUAUAUGUUUCUCUCCAACUUCAUCGAAAAAAUAUCUAAUGGUAUUUCUAUAACCUAGAAAUAAGUUUUUUAAGCUUUUUUUUUUUUUUUUUUUUUUUUUGCUUCUAACAACCUUCCGUCCCAUUUAGAUCUACCCAUCUCUGUCUCUCAAUUCAAAACAAACCUGAGGGAUAAAUAUAAAAUUGAAAUAUAAUGAUAUAAACUAAAAAAACAAAGAACAAAUCAGAAUAGGAAGGAUCCAUCCCAUAAACAACCACCUAAACCAGACACUACUGUAGAUGCCAAUAAGAGCUUGCUGACAGGAGCCUGAUAUAGCUGUCUCCUGAGAGGCUCUGCCAGUUCCUGAAAAAUACAGAGGAGGAUGCUCAUAGCCAUUCAUUGGACAGAGCACAGGAUCCCCAAUGAAGGAGUUAGAGAAAGUACCCAAGGAGCUGAAGGGAUUAGCAGCCCCAUAGGAGGAACAACAAUAUCAACUAACCAGUACCUACAGAGCUCCCUGGGACUAAACCACCAAUCAAAGAAAACACAUGGUGGGACUCAUGGCUCUAGCUACAUAUGUAGCAGAGGAUGGCCUGGCUGUUCAUUAAUGGGAGGAGAGGCCCUUGGUCCUGUGAUGUUUCCAUGUUCUAGUAUAGGGGAAUGCCAGGGCCAGGAAGCAAGAGUGGGUGGGUUAGUUAACAGGGAGAGGAGGGAGAGGAUGGGGGAUUUUCAGGGAAAACUCAGAAAGGAGAUAACAUUCGAAAUAUGAAUAAAAAGCUGUACUACAGAGCAAUUGUGAUAAAAACUGCAUGGUACUGGUAUAGCGACAGACAAGUAGACCAAUGGAACAGAAUUGAAGACCCAGAGAUGAACCCACCCACCUAUGGUCACUUGAUCUUUGACAAGGAAGCUAAAACUAUCCAGUGGAAGAAAGAUAGCAUUUUCAACAUUUGGCGCUGGCACAACUGGUGGUUAUCAUGUAGAAGAAUGUGAAUUGAUCCAUUCUUAUCUCCUUGUACUAAGAUCAAGUCUAAGUGGAUUAAGGAACUCCACAUAAAACCAGAGAAAAUGAAAAUUAUAGAGGAGAAAGUGGGGGAAAACCCUCGAAGAUAUGGGCACAUGGGGAAAAUUCCUGAAUAGAACAGAAAUGGUUUGUGCUGUAAGAUCGAGAAUCGAUAAAUGGGACCUCAUAAAGUUGCAAAGCUUCUGCAAGGCAAAAGACACCGUCAACAAGACAAAAAGACCACCAACAGAUUAGGAAAGGAUCUUUACCAAUCCUAAAUCAGAUAGGGGAUGAAUAUCUAAUAUAUAUAAAGAACUCAAGAAGGUGGACUCCAGAAAAUCAAAUAACCCCAUUAGAAAUAGGGCUCAGAGCUGAACAAAGAAUUCUCACAUGAGGAAUACUGAAUGGCAGAGAAGCACCUGAAAAAAAUGUUCAACAGCCUUAAUCAUCAGGGAAAUGCAACUCAAAACAACCCUGAGAUUCUACCUCAUACCAGUCAGAAUGGCUAAAAUCAAAAAUUCAGGUGACAGCAGAUGCUGUCCAGAAUGUGGAGAAAGAGGAACACUCCUCCAUUGUUGGUGGGAUUGUCCUCAGAAAAUUGGACAUAGUACUACUGGAGGAUCCCGCAAUACCUCUCCUGGGCAUAUAUCCAGACGAUGUCCCAACCGGUAAGAAGGACACAUGCUCCACUAUGUUCAUAGCAGCCUUAUUUAUAAUAGCCAGAAGAUGGAAAGAACCCAGAUGCCCCUCAACAGAGGAAUGGAUACAGAAAAUGUGGUACAUUUACACAAUGGAGUACUAUUCUGCUAUUAAAAAGAAUGAAUUUAUGAAAUUCCUAGGCAAAUGGAUGGACCUGGAGGGCAUCAUCCUGAGUGAGGUAGCCCAAUCACAAAGGAACUCACACAAUAUGUACUCACUGAUAAGUGGAUAUUAGCCCAGAAACUUAGGAUACCCAAGAUAUAAGAUACAAUUUGCUAAAUGCAUGACACUCAAGAAGAACGAAGACCAAAGUGUGGACACUUUGCCCCUUCUUAGAAUUGGGAACAAAACACCCAUGGAAGGAGACAAAGUUUGGAGCUGUGAUGAAAGGAUGGAACAUCUAGAGACUGCCAUAUCUGGGGAUCUAUCCCUUAAUCAGCUUCCAAAUGCUGACACCAUUGCAUACACUAGCAAGAUUUUGCUGAAAGGACCCAGAUAGAGCUGUCUCUUGUGAGACUAUGCCAGGGCCUAGCAAACACAGAAGUGGAUGCUCACAGUCAGCUAUUGGAUGGAUCACAGGGCCCCCAAUGGAGGAGCUAGAGAAAGUACCCAAGGAGCUAAAGGGAACUGCAACCCUAUAGGUGGAACAACAUUAUGAACUAACCAGUACCCCUGAGCUCUUGACUCUAGCUGCAUAUGUAUCAAAAGAUGGCCUAGUCGGCCAUCACUGGAAAGAGAGGCCCAUUGGACUUGCAAACUUUAUAUGCCCCAGUACAGGGGAAUGCCAGGGCCAAAAAGUGGGAGUGGACGGGUAGGGGAGUGGGGGACUUUUGGGAUAGCAUUGGAAAUGUAAAUGAGGAAAAUACCUAAUAAAAAAUUUAAAAACAAAACAAAAAAAGAAAAUAUCUAGUAAAAAAGGGACAAGAAACAGAUAUAAAUGUAGAGAGUAGAAAUAUGAUAGACUUACCAUGAUUUCUGUCUUUCUCAUACUCUCUAAUUUUCAUUUUUAUAUCAUUUGAUAUACAUGGAUAUUUAUUAUGAUUAUUUUCUCAAUGUAUCAACUGUCUUUCUGUAUCUCUAAUUCUCCUAAGUUCAGGCUCUUAAACCAUCUGGAUUUUGCUUUCUUUGAUAGUGCUGGUUUCCUUGCAUACUCUAGACUGACAGUCUAAAUGAUCUUCCUUCUAUGAUCUGUUUAUAUGUAUAUGCUAUAACUUCAUAGUUAAAAAUCUCUAAACAGAGACAAGGCAUGGCCUAUCCUUUUGUCUGCAUUUUGGUUUGGGCAGCAGGAACUCAACAAAGUUGUAUCAUUGUUGGAAGAAACAUUGGUAAUUCAUAGACCAUUAGCAAAAUUUUGGACACUUGUUUCUGUAGCUCUCUCUAUCAGUGAUUCCAAACUUAUAUUUUUAAGAUAGAUUUCCUUCAAAUGUUAAUAUCUGUACAUUUGAAGAUAAAAACAAAUAUUAAAUCUAUAGAACCCCGAGUUAAUCCAUUCAUUUUCCUUGUGACAGUGGAUGUUCUCUUGCACUUAGGGUACCGAAGAGUUUUGUGGAGAAAACACAUUUUGGAUAAACUCUUUUCAACAGAGUUCAAGUAGAUUCAGGACUCAGUGAAAUAUAUACAUAGAUCACUAUAGAAGGAUUAUACAACACUUAUUUUAGCAGGGAGAAAGAAUAACACAAACGACAGAGAGAUGAAUGUGCCUAUGAACAAAAAAAGUAAAAACAGUUUGGUUUCUUAGGGAUUGGCCCGGGAACCUCUCAUAUUUAACAUUUUCAUAAAUGAUUUGGAAGAGAGAAUGCAUGGUGAAUUAUCCAAGUUUGCAGAUGACACCAAGCUCUUCCAGGUAGUGAAAUGCCAAGCAGAUGGAGAUAAACUACAGGGAGGACUUGCCAGCCUGCAUGAGUGGGCAGAAAAGUGGUAGAUGAUAUUCGGUGUGGGCAAUAAAAGGUAAUCCACUUAGGAAAAAAUAAUAAAAGCUAUGUGUACCAAAAAGUAUAUUGAGUUAGUCUUUGUUCUCAUAAAGUGAGCAUUAUUAUAAACCAUUCUUUUUGAUAACCUUUCUGUGUACUGACAAAUCAAGAAGGGAUAUAAAAUAAACACAUAAAAACAUUUAUCUUGAAUUAGCAGAUACAUCACAACAGAAGCUAUUUAGUCUAUUUGUCAAAUAAGGCUAAUUGAUCACGUAGUGUCAGACUCUCUUCUGGGUACUGAAAUCUAGCUGUGGCAUCUGAAAGACAUAAACAAAGGACAAUCUAUGAAAUAUGUAGAGAAGGCUUAUGAAGAUAGAGUAAAAAUUAGGUAGCAACUAUCAAAGCUGAAAAGAAGUACCAAACAUUUACAGAACCUUUGUAUGUUGAAAGCCUUCCUUCCUGUCUGAUGCUAUACAUUCCUAUGAAGCAUACAUACAGAAUCCUUUCUCUUAUAGGUUAAAGAUGAGAAGCUUUGCCUAUGAUUCAUUGAAUGUCAAUCAAAAGUUUAUAGAAUAGGAGAGGGUAAAGAGUAAAGCAUAGCAUUUGUUGAUUCCAAUUUUUGUUCCUUUCCACUGAAGCAAAAAAAACUUUAUUUAUCAAGAGGCAAAAUGAAGGCUCUUGUAAUAUGCAAAGGUGGAAAUACGAGAAAAGUAAUAGUUUCUGGUGAGUAGAUUAGCAGAUAGUAGAUAAAGUCAAUGUUAACAGAGAUGUCAUAACAAUGUAAGAUCUCCCAUGUGGUUUUAGUAUUUGUCUUUGUUUCUUUGUUUUUGUUUUUAAAUUAGUAUACAGGUUGAAGACUCAUGAUUAACUAUUAAGAUCUGACCCUUUAUAGUUAGGUCAAAUAUAAGAGUUCAGAGUAAUAAAAGAAGCCAAAACCAAUGGAGCAUACGGCUGAGAAUACUCAAUCAAUACCAAAUGUCUAUUUGUAUUCUAGCACUCUGUGUGCAGUUGCACACUGUAAUUGUUGACACUAUCCAUUUUGACCAUAUAUGAGUAAGAUAUGUUCAGAUCAGAGAAUAAUAGCAUCAGAAAAGCUUAAAAUUAAAUUAGGUGAUCAAGGAUCUACAGUUCAAAAAGAAACUUAGAAUAAAAAAAAAAACUUGCAAUACAAAAAUAUCAAAGGCCAGUGAGACUGAGAGGAAGGGAAGGAGGGUUGAGAGAUGAUGAGAGAUAAAACAUAAUACCACUGGGGAAGAGUCAAUCACAGACACAAUAUAUAUCUGGACAUGUGAUGGGGAGUAUUUGAAUAAUUACGUUUAGGAAUGAUUACUGUGCAAUAACUUAUUUAGUAUAAUCACAAGUUUGUCUUUUAAGUUUCUUGUUUUAAAAAUAAAUGGGAUUUUUGCCAGGGUAUGAAAUUGCUUAUAAUAGAAAGGGAAGGACAUAAGACAAAAUGCUGUAUAUAUUCAUAUGAAAACUAUUAUUUUUACAUUUAAAAACAAUAUUUUAAAAUAUAUGAUGAUAAAAUUAAUAUUUAUAAGAUAUUUAUGAGUAUCUUCUAUUCCUCCAGAACACCCAUGUCUUCAGUAUCGUGUUCCUCUAUGUGUGGUAACACAUGCCUGUAAUCUUAGCACUCAGGAUACAGAAGAAGUAGAUUUCUGUGAGGUCAAGGCCAACCUGGUCUACUCUGAGUUCGUCUAUGCAACCAGGCCUGCUUUAUUGGGAGACUCUUGUCAAAACUAAUAAAAACAAAUUGUAUAAAUUUAAAGAAAGAGACUGUGAAUUUGAAAGAAAUUGGGGUAGGGGGAUAUGAGGUUCUGGAGAAAUGAAAUGGAAGAGAAAGAUGAUAUAAUUAUAUUAAAAUCUAAUAAUAACCUAAAAGUAACUAUAAACAUAUUUGUAUUAUGCUGAAUUUGUAGCAGUAUUUAGCCUCUUGUAUCAUUGCUUCCUGUAGUCUCUUCUCUUUUAACCAGUGUGUGAGGAGUAUAGACAUCUGUGUUUUCUCCAAUUCA